rnacentral:tRNA from 1 species
GCGCCCGUAGCUCAGUGGAUAGAGCGCCAGUCUCCGGAACUGGAAGUCGUAGGUUCGACUCCUACCGGGCGCG